GUCUACGGCCAUACCACCCUGAACGCGCCCAAUCUUGUCUGAUCUCGGAAGCUAAGCAGGGUCGGGCCUGGUUAGUACUUGGAAGGGAGAAAGAGAGGGGAGGGGUAGAAA
rnacentral:rRNA from 1 species